rnacentral:rRNA from 1 species
AGAGUUUGAUCCUGGCUCAGGACGAACGCUGGCGGCGUGCUUAACACAUGCAAGUCGAGCGAGGAACUUCGGUUCCUAGCGGCGGACGGGUGAGUAACACGUGGGCAACCUGCCUCACAAUGGGGGAUAGCCUUCCGAAAGGAAGAUUAAUACCCCAUAACACAAAGGAAACGCAUGUUUCUUUUGCCAAAGAAUUUCGUUGUGAGAUGGGCCCGCGGCGCAUUAGCUAGUUGGUGAGGCAACGGCUCACCAAGGCGACGAUGCGUAGCCGACCUGAGAGGGUGAUCGGCCACAUUGGAACUGAGACACGGCCCAGACUCCUACGGGAGGCAGCAGUGGGGAAUAUUGCACAAUGGGGGAAACCCUGAUGCAGCAACGCCGCGUGAGUGAUGACGGCCUUCGGGUUGUAAAGCUCUGUCUUCAGGGACGAUAAUGACGGUACCUGAGGAGGAAGCCACGGCUAACUACGUGCCAGCAGCCGCGGUAAUACGUAGGUGGCGAGCGUUGUCCGGAUUUACUGGGCGUAAAGGGAGCGUAGGCGGACUUUUAAGUGAGAUGUGAAAUACCCGGGCUCAACUUGGGUGCUGCAUUUCAAACUGGAAGUCUAGAGUGCAGGAGAGGAGAAUGGAAUUCCUAGUGUAGCGGUGAAAUGCGUAGAGAUUAGGAAGAACACCAGUGGCGA